UCCUUCAGCAUUUAAGUAUGGAUUCCAACCAUGCGUCAGGCACUGGGCGAGGCAAUGCCCGCCUAGUGUGCUGGCUUUUUCGUCACGCCAGUUUUCCUCAAGGACACAAGAUGGCGCCCUUGAUCCGGGCAUCACAUCCAGAUUCCGUUUCAUUCACAAGGAGGGAAGGCAGCCCUUUCUCUUUUUCCCUGACAUUUCCUAGCUGGCCUCUUCUCUUCUAUUAUGGGCCAGAGUUAUGUCACGUGUCCCCCACUUCAGCCAAUCAACAGGCAGGAAACAACAAUUGGCCUAAAGAAGCAGAUGGCAAUAUGGAGGAAGGAAGUAAUCCCAGCCAGGCCUGGGUUUUGUGAGAAAGAGGAUGUGGGAAUUGAUAUUGCCUAGGCAACCAGUAGCAUCUACUACAGCCCUUUUUGCAGAUGUCCACCCUCCACCCCAACAGUGUCACCAAGAAUGGCAGUGGUUCAUUCUGGGUCUGUGAAGAAGUCACUUCUCUAGGGGCAGACGGGAUGGGCCUGCCUGCCAACAAAAUCAAAACAGCCUCCCAACUCAAAGAGACUCAGUAACGUCCAAGAGGUAGUCACAGAAUCUGGAGAAACAACAUGGAAAUGGAGACCAAGAGAGGGAAGGAGGGAUGCCACCAGAUGACACUGGGAUCCCGGAAGAUGGAACACUGUGUGCAACAGGCAAAGUGUCCUCCAUGGGCUCAGCACUUUACAGACGUCACCUCACGUAACCCAUGCCACAAUCGGGAGAAAGAACGACUGCCAUCGUACCCACGAGGAAACAGAGAAGAAAAGACGCCGUCCAGGACCUCGGGGCUGGUUGGUUGGUGGAGCAGACAGGAAAGCCCCACAAAAAGGUAGGCCUGGGCCAGACAGGGUUUGAGAAUUCAGGCCCCAAGGGGUGGGAAGGAAGAAGACCAGGUCCCUGUGCAAGAAUGGCCCAAGAUUGUUUAAAAGAUGGAGUGACCCAGGUCAGGGAAGGAGAGCCGACAAAAGUGGCUGGCCAGGGCUGGCAUUUAGCUAGCUUUUAGCCCCAUGCUAAGAUCAACAGAUGCUUCUGGGGGUCAGGAUGGGGCAGAAAUGAGUGGAGACUUCAAGGCAGGGGUUAGGAAACAUGACAGGACAGUCGGCCCAAAUGACAAAGCCAUCACUCCACAUCCCAGAGUGCGUGAGCUCUCUCAGUGUUUGUUUUAUUUAAACCUCCAAGAGUCAAAUGCCACUCACCAUCCAUGUGUGGACCAGUCUCCAGCUUCCACCUCUGCUGAGAGUGAGGGUAGAGGGGCGCCAUGUCUCUAACCCCUUCUAUGGUCAGGGAGCUCCCUCCAGGUCACCCAGCCACAGGCACCAUGAUUUAGAAAGUGCUGAAGCCAGAUCACCUGGGUUCAACCCCCUCCCCCAUCACAGCCUAGCAGCUGAUGGUUAACUCUGGCGAAUUUUUUUUUUCUUCUUUGUGCUUCUCUGUAUUUCUAAUUUUUCCACAAUGAACAUGCAUCACUUCUGUUUUUAAGAACUUUUCAAAAGGGAUUUCAACCUCUGACCACCAGGAGACAGGCGACUGGAGCUCUUUGUAAAUGCACUGACAUGACCGGGAACAGCUGCUGGGGAGGUGGAGAUGGUGCAGGGAGAGACAGGAUGCCCCAGAGGCCUGGAAAUCCAGGAGCCACAAGAAGCAGUGAGCUUUGUGCAGAGCCAGAUCUGGUGGAGUCAAUUCACUAGCAGGUCCCGGCAGUGACUCUUCAACGGAUUCCCACCUGUCCCUGUGCCCCAUUGCCUCCCUGCCAUCAAUCUCCACCUCACGGGAGGUGGACCAAGCCUUUCUGUGUGUAGCUCACUCCUCUCCCUGCUCAGAACUCACCUAGUGGCUUCCACGGCAUUGUCUUUUCUUUUUUCUUUUUUUUUUUUUUAAAGAGAUGGGGCCUUGCUGUGUUGCCCAGGGUG